AUACGGAGGAUCCGAGCGUUAUCCGGAUUUAUUGGGUUUAAAGGGUGCGCAGGCGGCCAUUUAAGUCAGCGGUUAAAUCGUGGGGCUCAACCCCAUUCUGCCGUUGAUACUGGGUGGCUUGAUUGCGGUCGAGGUUGGCGGAAUUCGUUGUGUAGCGGUGAAAUGCAUAGAUAUGACGAAGAACACCGAUUGCGUAGGCAGCUGACCAGACCGCAAAUGACGCUCAUGCACGAAAGUGCGGGGAUCGAACAGGAUUAGAUACCCUGGUGGUCCGCACAGUAAACGAUGAAUACUUGUUUUCGGCGAUAUAAUGUCGGAGGCAAAGCGAAAGCGAUAAGUAUUCCACCUGGGGAGUACGCCGGCAACGGUGAAACUCAAAGGAAUUGACGGGG
rnacentral:rRNA from 1 species